GACGAACGCUGGCGGCGUGCCUAAUACAUGCCAGUUGAGCGCAGAAGGUUGGUACUUGUACCAACGGGAUGAGCAGCGAACGGGUGAGUAACGCGUGGGGAAUCUGCCUUUGAGCGGGGGACAACAUCUGGAAACGAAAGCUAAUACCGCAUAAAAACUUUAAACACAAGUUUUAAGAUUGAAAGAUGCAAUUGCAUCACUUAAAGAUUAUACCGCGUUUUAUUAGCUAGUUGGGGAGGUAAAGGGUCACCAAGGCGAUGAUACCUAGCCGACCUGGGAGGGUGGUCGGCCCACUUGGGACUGAGACCCGGCCCCAGCUCCUGAGGGAGGCAGCCGUAAGGGAUUUUCGGGCAUGGGGGGAAGUCCUAACGGACAAAGGCGGGUGAGUGGAGAAGGGUUUCGGAUCGUUAAACUCUGUUGAUAGAGGAAAACGAUAGUUGGAAUUGAAAGCGCACCAAGUGACGGUACCUAAUCAGAAAGCGACGGCUAACUACGUG
rnacentral:rRNA from 1 species